rnacentral:rRNA from 1 species
AUUGAACGCUGGCGGCAGGCCUAACACAUGCAAGUCGAACGAGUGGCGGACGGGUGAGUAAUGUCUGGGAAACUGCCUGAUGGAGCGGGAUAACUACUGGAAACGGUAGCUAAUACCGCAUACACUCGGAUGUGCCCAGAUUGGAUUAGCUAGUAGGUGGGGUAAAGGCUCACCUAGGCGACGAUCCCUAGCUGGUCUGAGAGGAUGACCAGCCACACUGGAACUGAGACACGGUCCAGACUCCUACGGGAGGCAGCAGUGGGGAAUAUUGGGCAAUGGGCGAAAGCCUGAUGCAGCCAUGCCGCGUGUAUGAAGAAGGCCUUCGGGUUGUAAAGUACUGUCAGCGGGGAGGCGGUACCCGCAGAAAAAGCACCGGCUAACUCCGUGCCAGCCGCCGCGGUAAUAC